ACGAACGGCUGGCGGCGUGCCUAAUACAUGCAAGUCGAACGGUCUUUCUAUGGAAGCUUGCUUCCACUGAGAAGAUAGUGGCGAACGGGUGAGUAACACGUGGGUAACCUGCCCAUAAGAGGGGGAUAACAUCCGGAAACGGGUGCUAAUACCGCAUAGUUUUCUUGAUCGCAUGAUUGAGAAAGGAAAGACGGCCUUUGUGCUGUCGCUUAUGGAUGGACCCGCGGCGUAUUAGUUAGUUGGUGAGGUAACGGCUCACCAAGACGAUGAUACGUAGCCGACCUGAGAGGGUGAUCGGCCACAUUGGGACUGAGACACGGCCCAAACUCCUACGGGAGGCAGCAGUAGGGAAUCUUCCGCAAUGGACGAAAGUCUGACGGAGCAACGCCGCGUGAGUGAAGAAAGGUUUUCGGAUCGUAAAACUCUGUUGUCAGAGAAGAACAAGUUGGAGAGUAACUGCUCCAGCCUUGACGGUAUCUGACCAGAAAGCCACGGCUAACUACGUGCCAGCAGCGGC
rnacentral:rRNA from 1 species